rnacentral:sRNA from 1 species
UUUUAACUGUCAGCUGUCAACAAGUUUGUAAAUACCGCAUAUUAUCAAGACGGCGUACCUAAGUCCGGCAAUGAAGUAUUUUGAGUAUACAUAAGUUACAGAUGGAUUGAAAAUCACCCCCCCCCCCCAAAAAAAAAACCCCAAAGAAUUUCAAUCCAAUGUUUUCACGGACGUCCACACUGAAUAGCAUCUGCUUUAUUAAAUUAACUGAAGUCAAAUGAUGCCAUUGGACACCUAGAACCAUUUUAACAAGAUCUUGAACAUUAAAUAUGACGUAGCUAUCUAUUUCUUGCAUCAAAACAAGUCAAAAUGAUGUUGGUUUCGAGUGCAAUAUGCGUAGAUAGCGUAGUAGUUUUAACUCAAGUGUCAGACAAAUAUUGUUGAUAUCAAUGAGCAAUGGCUGAGUGGCCAGUGAUUAAAGAGGUUCGAUUCUCUGUUUUUGGGUAGCCAUUUUGGGUUUCCUCUAUUCUGGAAAUUAUGCAUCAUAUAUUGAUUCUACUCAUAAAUUCAUAUUUUAUAAUGCCAAUUUAACUAUUUUAAAUAAAAUACUAAAGGAAAAAUUACAUAUUUAUAGAGUUUAGUAUGGGACCAUAUUUUGUGGGGGAAGGUUUUUAAGAAGAAAAUGAAAAUUUUUCACAUCUCAGUUGUUUAAGAGUACCGUCACAUUAGCUUCCUUAUUUUCAGUGCAAACACAAUUUCCAGAAUGUUUGUGCAUUAGAAUAUCUUCAUUUCGUUAUGAAAAAAAUAUUUUUACAAUUUUUCAAUAUAUCUAUAGACACAAAUUGGCAAAUUUAACUUAUAUUUCAUAAUAGUCAAGGAAAAAUGAAUCCCAAUUUUUGGCUAAAAUUAGCUUAUUUCAUGCCAUAUCUCAAAUUUUACAUAAUAGACCCAUACUUUUGGUUUUAUUUUCUGAAGCUUGAAGGUUUUUUUGACAAGUUUAUCAUAAUUUGAAAAAAAAGUUUGAGACUUUUAAAUAAUUUCAUUUUAUGUUGAAUCGGUAAUGGAUAAAAACAGCGUUUUAUUAGUGCAAAAAGGUCAAAAUAUCAAUUAGGUGAAGAAAUUGUAACAUAUUUCUUUAUGAUAAUUUUAAUUUCAUUUAUUCAAAUAGUUAAAAUUUUUAUUUGGUGCCAUAGCUCAUUCCGAUAAUAAAUUAAAGACGGAAAAGCGAUUUGUGUGCAAUCUGCAUAUUCAGUGCAGAAAGGUCAUAUUAAAUACACCGUAGCGCCAAAUGAAGCAUAUAGACCCCAAAAUUUUGUUUUGAAUUUUGGUUAAGCUAUGUGCGUAGAUUUUUAAAAAAUACUUUAGAAAAAAACUUUAAGACUUUUGAUCGCAGGAUCCAACGACCUUAAAUAGUCAGGCCUACGUCACAUUGCUGUUUGACAAAACUACCCAAUUCCAAGACCUUGUUAAAUAAUUCUAGGUGAACUUCGGUGACAUGGCUGGAAAUGACGUACACUGGAUGUUUCGAAGAAUGUCUGUUAAUGUCGCUGUCUUAUGUUCUACCGCCCUCUUCAUAGCAGAGGUUCCUUGACUUUCCAGAACUUUCUAUUACAACUGAACAACAGUCUAUAACAGUUUAAAAUGUUUCGACCAACUUUUAGGCGUGGAUGUAUACUACGUCUGUCUUUGGAUACUGAACUAAAAAGUGAAAUUGGUGAUGGAGCUCGGAACGUGUUUUUCCGAGCCUGUCGGAAAGGCCCGAGAAGUUGCGAUUGGAUUCACCACGAAACGUACUCAAUAGAUCUGAGAGCCUAUAUUUUCACUGUAUCGCAAUCACGAUAGAUGGUACAUUUUGUACAAACCAUCAUUAGAGAUAUAAACAAAGUUGCAUAAAAUAUUCUAAGAUGAAAAAAAUUAACAUAAUUUUGGUACACUAACUCGCAAUACAGUAUAGUUUUAUUCAAGGAGAAGAACUAGUAAAUUGUUAGAACUUGUUUCUGAUACUUUUGAGCAAUCAAUAAAAUAUGUUCAAAACA